rnacentral:rRNA from 1 species
ACGCACGCUGGCGGCGCGCCUAACCCAUGCAAGUCGAACGAGCGAGAGAGAGCUUGCUUUCUCAAGCGAGUGGCGAACGGGUGAGUAACGCGUGAGGAACCUGCCUCAAAGAGGGGGACAACAGUUGGAAACGACUGCUAAUACCGCAUAAGCCCACAGGUCGGCAUCGACCAGAGGGAAAAGGAGCAAUCCGCUUUGAGAUGGCCUCGCGUCCGAUUAGCUAGUUGGUGAGGUAACGGCCCACCAAGGCAACGAUCGGUAGCCGGACUGAGAGGUUGAACGGCCACAUUGGGACCGAGACACGGCCCAGACUCCUACGGGAGGCAGCAGUGGGGAAUAUUGCACAAUGGGGGAAACCCUGAUGCAGCGACGCCGCGUGGAGGAAGAAGGUCUUCGGAUUGUAAACUCCUGUUGUUGAGGAAGAUAAUGACGGUACUCAACAAGGAAGUGACGGCUAACUACGUG